rnacentral:rRNA from 1 species
AUUGAACGCUGGCGGAAUGCUUUACACAUGCAAGUCGAGCGGCAGCACGGGGGCAACCCUGGUGGCGAGCGGCGAACGGGUGAGUAAUACAUCGGAACAUGCCCAGUCGUGGGGGGAUAACACUUCGAAAGAAGUGCUAAUACCGCAUACGUCCUGAGGGAGAAAGCGGGGGAUCGCAAGACCUCGCGCGAUUGGAGUGGCCGAUGUCAGAUUAGCUAGUUGGUGGGGUAAAGGCCUACCAAGGCAACGAUCUGUAGCUGGUCUGAGAGGAUGAUCAGCCACACUGGGACUGAGACACGGUCCAGACUCCUACGGGAGGCAGCAGUGGGGAAUUUUGGACAAUGGGGGCAACCCUGAUCCAGCCAUGCCGCGUGCGGGAAGAAGGCC